rnacentral:ncRNA from 1 species
CUCAUCCAUAAUGUUAAUGUGAAACUGGCAAUUUUCUUGAACUAUAAUGUAGUAGAACUAACAAUGUAUGGUGCUUUGAAGUAUCAUUUCCUGGUUGGGUCCAUGCAUUUGUAUUUGCUUGAGAGACCUGCAUGUUCCUGCUUUGAUCCAGGUGUAGCAUGUGGCUGGGGACCCGAAAGAUGGUAAUCCAUGCUCAGUUGGGAUGAAGCCAGAGGAAACUCUGGUGAAAGAUUGAAGCACUUCUGAUGUGCAAAUUGAUCAUUGGAACCAGGUAUAGGGGGUGAAAGACCAAUUGGGCCAAAUAUUAGCUGGUUCCCUCCAAGGCUUCCCUCAGGAUAGCUGACACCAACAGGAGAAUGACAUGCAAUUCCAUCCCAUAAAGCUAACAACUGGAGGCCCUGGGGAUGUUGAUGGCCUUGAUCUACUCUUGAACUCAGAAUGGGAAAAACAGGCUGCUCCUAUCCCAUUUGGAAGCAGUUGUAUAUUACAGCAUGUAUAUAUAUGUAUAGUUUUAGAAUAUUUGCUUGUUUUGGUUUAUAUAUUUUUUUGGCAUAAUUAACCACAUACAUUUUCUAUGAUGACAUCAUUAAAUUAUAAAUUUCACAGGCCUUACAUUUGAUGAGAGAGAAAUUAUAGAGUCAGCUUUUCGUGUUGGAAUACUGAAGGUUUUGGUUGCUACAUCAACCUUGUCUUCUGGUGUCAACUUACCUGCACGGCGAGUUAUAAUACGAAGUCUUUUGUUUUAUGGGCAAGUCAUUGAUGCAAGGACGUACAAGCAAAUGGUUGGAAGAGCUGGACGUAAAGGUGUUGAU